UACGGUGAGGUGCGAGCGUUAAUCGGAAUUACUGGGGCUUAAAGCGUGUGUAGGCGGAUCGUUAAGUACCUUGUGAAAUCCCACGGCUCAACCGUGGAACGGCUGGGUAUACUGGCGGUCUUGGGCCAUUCAGGGGCGACUGGAACAAGCGGUGGAGCGGUGAAAUGCGUAGAUAUGCGGAGGAACACCGAUGGCGAAGGCAAUCCCCUGGGCCUGCACUGACGCUCAUGCACGAAAGCGUGGGGAGCAAACAGG
rnacentral:rRNA from 1 species